rnacentral:rRNA from 1 species
UACGGGGGUGCAAGCGUUGUUCGGAAUCAUUGGGCGUAAAGAGCGUGUAGGCGGCUUAACAAGUCAGAUGUGAAAUCCCUGGGCUUAACCCAGGAAGUGCAUUUGAAACUGUUUAGCUUGAGUAAGGGAGAGGAAAGUGGAAUUCCUGGUGUAGAGGUGAAAUUCGUAGAUAUCAGGAGGAACACCGGUGGCGAAGGCGACUUUCUGGCCCUAUACUGACGCUGAGACGCGAAAGCGUGGGUAGC